AGUUGUGGGGAGUAGCUCGGACGAAGCCGGAUUAAUACCGCAUGCGACCUAUGGGUGAAAGCGGGGGAUCGCAAGACCUCGCGCAGUUGGAGCGGCCGAUGUCAGAUUAGCUAGUUGGUAGGGUAAAAGCCUACCAAGGCGACGAUCUGUAGCUGGUCUGAGAGGACGACCAGCCACACUGGGACUGAGACACGGCCCAG
rnacentral:rRNA from 1 species